CUUGGUGAUUGAAGCGGCGGGGGGACACCCGGUCCCAUCUCGAACCCGGUAGUUAAGCCCGCCAGCACCGAUGGUACUUGGCUGGUAACGGCCUGGGAGAGUAGGUCAUCGCCAAGG
rfam:Chloroflexi bacterium RBG_19FT_COMBO_62_14 rbg_19ft_combo_scaffold_80, whole genome shotgun sequence.